rnacentral:lncRNA from 1 species
CACCCUUGUUCCCUGAGGUCUCUGGGCCUGAGCGCUGCUACAGGACAUAUUAGCGCUCAGUUUGGCCCUGUCCCUUCUGCCCCUAGUCGGGUGGCCGCGCUUGCCCCAGACCAACCAAACUUCGUUUAUACUGCCACUUUCUUGUGUUUGGGAAAUGCUAAAUUUUUUUUCUUUGAAAUUUUCUUUUUUCUUUUUUCUUUUUUUUCUUUUUAUUUUUUUCCUUUUUUCUUUUUUCUUUUUCUGUUUUUUAUUUUUUUGAUGACACCAUGCCUCUUGCUGUUGCUGCUGACAGCAGAAUUUGACCUGCUGGAACCCGUUGUGGCCUGUAUCUUUGUGUAUUACUGUAUUACUAUAUCGUCUGUGCAUAGAGGAGUAGAACUGUUAGACGUAGGACUCCGCGGGCUUAGCCAACAGUGUUGGGUAAGCCUGGCGAGGCGCAAUAGGAACUGCACUCAGUGCCCUAGAACAGCGGGGGCUGCUGUCAGCACUAGCUGCGAAGCCAAUUGCAAACCGCAGGGGAGAAGCUGGGCUUCAGAAAAGCCGGAGUACACCACACACACCCCCACCUCCCAGGCACCCCUCUUCCCCAUGGCAGCACUCAGCCUGGAGAAGGGUGAAUGUCACCCACUGUCCCCAACCUGCUGUGGGCCAUAGCCCCUCUACACACAGGCUUUGUCUGAAACCCAGCUCAACCCUGUGGCCGCCCUGAUACUGUUCAUCAUCCUGUUUUGUGUCACACGCCCUGCUACCUUGAUUCACUCUUCGUCGUUGGCUAGGUUUUGGAUUUAUUACUUUCGAGGACGAACAAUCAGUGGACCAGGCUGUCAACAUGCAUUUUCACGACAUCAUGGGCAAAAAAGUGGAGGUUAAACGGGCUGAACCUCGGGACAGCAAAAACCAAGCACCAGGACAGCCAGGAGCCAGCCAGUGGGGCAGCCGCGUGGCGCCCAGUGCAGCCAACGGCUGGGCGGGCCAGCCCCCGCCAACGUGGCAACAAGGAUAUGGCCCACAAGGAAUGUGGGUGCCAGCAGGACAGGCCAUUGGUGGCUAUGGCCCACCCCCUGCGGGCAGAGGAGCCCCGCCCCCGCCCCCACCCUUCACCUCCUACAUUGUGUCCACACCUCCUGGAGGCUUCCCCCCACCACAGGGCUUCCCACAGGGCUACGGCGCUCCACCACAGUUCAGUUUUGGCUACGGUCCUCCGCCCCCACCCCCUGAUCAGUUCGCCCCUCCAGGGGUCCCUCCUCCACCUGCCACCCCAGGGGCUGCCCCACUGGCCUUCCCACCACCUCCGUCUCAGGCUGCCCCAGACAUGAGCAAACCCCCAACAGCCCAGCCGGACUUCCCCUAUGGUCAAUAUGGUUACGGGCAGGACUUGAGCGGCUUCGGCCAGGGCUUCUCAGACCCCAGCCAGCAGCCGCCCUCCUAUGGGGGCCCCUCUGUGCCGGGCUCAGGGGGUCCCCCCGCUGGUGGCAGUGGCUUCGGACGUGGGCAGAACCACAACGUGCAGGGCUUCCAUCCCUACAGGCGCUAGCCAGGGGGACGGCAGCAGGGCAGGAUUUGGGACUGGUGAACUCGUGACAAUCACACACUCGCUCGGGACAAAAUAAAUGACCACUCGACCUGGGGGGGAGGGGCAGCGAAGGCCGCGUCUGGACUGAGGUUUUAAAUAUAUUUCUUUUCUCUGACCCAUCAGCACAAUAAAAACACGUCACUGGUUCAACAACAGGGUUUAAAAAACGCCUUCAGCUUUAAUUCAGAAUUUCAGGUUUCUUUUUCUUUUCUUUUUUUUUUUCCUUUUUUUGAGAUUAUUUUCUUGAGCCUUUUGUUUUACCGUAUAUUGUAAACUUUUAUGUUAAAGAAAAAAUAUACAUUUACAAAUUGUGAGAUUUUUAAGAGAAAUUUUCUACGAUGUAUACUGGCUUAUUUUUUAAUUUAAAGCAGGGUUCGGGUGUGGGAAGCGGGGCCCUGGCUCCCGCCGGCGCGGGCUGGGGUGCGGGCAGAGACUACUGCGUGCGUUUGGUUUUUUGUUCAUUCCUUGCUUUGAGCGGCUUGUGUGGCUUCGAGUGCCACAGGGCCCCUGGCACAGGUGGCAGUGCUGAAGUCACGGGUGGCCUGGGCCCCACGUGGGUGGCAGGCAAGGCCUUGCUGGAGGCCCCUCAGUAGGGCCCAGGUUCCCACUGACCAGUUUGACCCGGUUUGAAUAAAGCAGCGUGUUUGGAUCAGAA